rnacentral:rRNA from 1 species
CCAGCAGCCGCGGUAAUUCCAGCUCCGCAAGUGUAUUCCUAUACUGUUGCGUUUAAAUAGCUCGUAGUUGGAUCUGCGUGUUUAGCGCGCGGUGUCACUACUUGUGACUACUGCAGUGCGACACAAAGCGCUAAGUACUUUCAGAAAGUAGUUAGCCAGUUUACUUUGAACAAAUCAGAGUGCUCAAAACGGGCGUUUCGCUCGAAUGUUCUUGCAUGGAAUAAUGGAAUAGGACCGCGCGUUCUAUUUUGUUGGUUUUCGGGACGCGGGUAAUGAUUAAGAGGGACAGACGGGGGCAUUUGUACUGCGACGUGAGAGGUGAAAUUCUUGGAUCGUCGCAAGAC